rnacentral:misc_RNA from 1 species
GUGAAUUAAACAUGCUUGGUGUCUUCGCUUCGGCAAGGCCCUUGCUUAAAUCACAUCCUAACACCUGUGAACUGUAAGACGUAUGAUGAGGUCUUUGGCCAAGUCAUCGUCUGCCCAUUUUUAUCAAACAAUUAAUGUAACAAACGUAGUCUUAUUAUAACCUAAUA